ensembl:miRNA
UGGCAUUAGUGCUUGAGCAGCUGUCAUUUACAGGCUGUUCAGCCUCUGGUGUCUGU